CGUUGAAAAUAUCAUCUAUUUGUAUUGGUAAAAACCGGCAUGGCUAAUAAAAUAAUCAAAUAGUAACACGUGUACUUCAUGCUGAUGUAUAGAGACCAAUUUUUUAAUAGCAAAAAUAGAUGAAAUUUUUAUCA
rfam:Gossypium raimondii Chr07_contig_713, whole genome shotgun sequence.